AAGUCCACCCAAGUCUAAAUAAAGUUUUGUAUUAAGUAUUAAAGUUCAACAUAAUUACAGACUGCCAUCCAACAAAAAAAAUUAGAUUUUCUCCUUUAUAUUUACAAGAAUGCCACUAGUAUAAAAAGUCAACAACCACUCUCAUUUCGGAACAGUCUCCGGCGGACCUCCAGCGAGAUUUCCAGUGGACCUUCGGCGAGGUUUCCGGCCGACCUCCGGCGAGGUUUCCGGCGAAGUUUCCGGCCGACCUCCGACGAGAUUUCCGACUGACCUCCGGCGAGGUUUCCGGCCGACCUCCGACGAUGACAAAAAUUACUACUACCAGCUAAAAAACUACUACCACCAGCUAUAAAAGCUACUACCACCACCUACAAAAGCUACUACAAAAGUUUCCGGCCAACCUCCGGCGAGAUUUCCGACCGACCUCCUGCGAGGUUUCCGGCCGACCUCCGACGAUGACAAAAAUUACUACUACAAGCUAAAAAAGCUACUACCACCAGCUAUAAAAGCUACUACCACCGCCUACAAAAGCUACUACUGUGAGGUUUUCGACGAACACAAAAGCUACUACCACUAGC
rnacentral:lncRNA from 1 species